ACUUUAAAGAGACUGCCGGUGUUAAACCGGAGGAAGGUGGGAUGACGUCAAGUCCUCAUGGCCUUUAUGCCUAGGGCUACGACACGUGCUACAAUGGGUGGUACAAAGAGCAGCCAACUCGCGAGAGCGCGCUAAUCUCCAAAAAAGCCAUCCUCAGUUCGGAUUGGAGUCUGCAACUCGACUCCAUGAAGUUGGAAUCGCUAGUAAUCGCGGAUCAGCAUGCCGCGGUGAAUACGUUCCCGGGCCUU
rnacentral:rRNA from 1 species